rnacentral:lncRNA from 1 species
UAAUACACCGAAUAAACACUCUCCAGUAAUUCUUCUCUCUCUCAAACACCGGAACAAAUAUUCUUUCUCUCGUAAUUCCCUGCUUCGCUGCCGCUGGAUCAAGCUUCUUCCUGGAACAAGUGAGAUUCAAAAUCCGAAGGUUUCAAGGUAUCAUUUUCUCAUUUCGUAUUCUCCUCCUCCUGCCAUUACUCUCUCAUACGCCUAAAUUCCCAAAACCCUAAAAUUUAUGCAAACUCUUGUUUUGGAUGAACAAUCUAUGACUAAAUCAAGAAUUCUGCAAUGACUAGUGACUAGUUGUGCAAGUAAUUUGUAUCCAGACUUAAUUGGUAAAGAAAGCCCUAAAUUACUCUGUCUCAAAAAUUCUACACCUGAGCAGUAAAAUGGAAUUUCUAAAUUCCAUCGUCUCUAUUUGUCAACUGAAAUUCCUUCGGAAUAAUAGUAUACUUCAUUAUUUUGUCAAAUUGGUUUAGGAUUUGCAAGAACUGAUUUUAUUGUAGGUAAAUCUGGACUGAUUAACCAUGUCAUUUAAAAGCCCAUAGACUAGUAUAUCGCACAUUCCUUUUAUCUCUAAUUGGCAGAAUUUUGGAAUUUACUACUUCAUUUCCAAGUUUUUGUUUAUCUUGUGAAAGGAAAACAUAAAAUCAAACAACUAAUUAGUUUUUAAGAAAUAUAAAGAUAUUCCCUGCUACUGGAAGCUUCAGAUGGAGUGUUCCAAAAUAUUUCUCAUUAUUAGAAUCCAAUACACUUACAAUUUAAUUUGUUAAUGACUUUCCAGUCUAUUAUGGAGGGGGUUUCCCCAUUCAUUUUCAGGUAUAAUAUUUUAUUUUACUACUUUCUCUUUCAAUUUGUGGUGUCUUAUUGGAUGUAAUUUGUUUCUAAAAACCACCAUUUUAUUUUUCUUGUUGCAGGAUUACUAUAAUCCAUAUUGAAGAAGUGGUGAAGGAUGUGAUCCGAACAAUAGGAGCGGAUAAUAUGGUGGGAUUAUAUGUGGUGGAGGAUGCCAAGUGAUUAAUGUAUACCUGUUGUAAUUCUCUUGCGUAAUAACUAGAAUUUGAGUUUUGUUGAUGACUUGACUAUUUACUUGAUGAAUAACAUGGGGGGACGAUGCAUUGUUCUAUAAAUGUGUGAUACAUUUAUUUUAUUUGUAGUUUGUAAAAAUUGUUACAUGUUUGUUGAUGUUUAAACAGGCUGUGUAUGCACAAUUCAUUGGUCCAAGUCACACUAUUGUUUA